UCCACCUCACCCCCACGCCCUAGCCCCACCUCCACCUCUCUCUCUCUCUCUCUCUCUCUCUCUCUCUCUCUCUCUCUCUCUCUGAUUUCUCCUUUCAAGUGCCCUCUCUCGUUCCCAUUUCUUUCCCCCUUUUCUUCUUCUAUGGUUAGGAUUUUUAUUUUCCAUUUCCGAUAUUUUCUCCACCUCUCUUCUACGCAAGAGGGAAAGCAUUGGUGUUGACGGUUAUUCCGUCAAUGAGGGUGAUUCGAGCAUCAGCAGCAAGUUUGUAGACACUGAACAAUUUCAAAUGUAUGUAACAAUUUCAACAUUUCUCCUCCUCAAGAAUGGCCCUCUCCCUCUCAUCCUGGUCUUCUCCUGCUGCUUCGUUUCUCUCUCCGCCUUAGAGAUUCCUUAUCCCUUCAAGCUCCAUGCCUCCCUUUCUUCCUCCAUCCGUCCUCCGCCCAAGGUCAUCCUCACAAGGGAGCUCGGCAAGAACGACAAGCUCAUUGAUACUCUGGGAAGAAGGCUCUAUGCAGAGGAAGGUAGAGGUACUUCGUGAUUUGAGGCAUUUGUUGUCGAAGUCUGAGGUGCCUCUUGUUGAAGCAGCCUUCAAAGCUGGGGCAAUUCCUGUUCUUGUGCAGUAUCUUUCAUUUGGAUGACUAGAUGAGCAAUUGCUUGAAGCAGCCUGGUGUCUGACUAACAUAGUAUCUGGAAAACCAGAACAGACAAAGGCUCUAUUGCCUACAUUACCUCUAAAUGUCCCUGUAAAUUUCUUUAUUUACUGCUACGUUUGAAUGUCCCUGUUAUUUGGUUCUGAUUCUCGCUAUUUACUCAAUCGCUAUCUUAACAAACCUUUGCAUUGUUAUGGUUCUUUGAGUUCAGAACUUUUCUAUUUGGGAUUCUUAUAGCGAAGAAAUCUACUUUCAUGGAGAAUGAAGUGGUUGCAGCAAAUCAAGGAAUGGAACAAAGAGAAAGAGCCAGUUCCAACUUAAAUUUGUGGAGAGUUUUUAUUUGGGUAUCUUUAGCUCUCCAACUUCUGUAAAUUCACUGAUUUGGUGGUUAGGUUAAUUAUAUCCUUCCUCAUCUCGCCACUGAUCAUCAAUCUCAAUAUCCUCAUUUCAGCCAUGCUUAUCCUUGAACAUGUUGUUCCUUAACUGACUAGCAUUUAUUUUAUUUUUUUUGGAUCAGCCAUGAGUAUAUGCACUUUCUUGUAUAUUCCAACUUCUACCAUUGUUUGGAUGAGUUUAUUUAGAGCAAAAUGAAAUACUUCUGUUGGUCACAUACCCAUCUAUACAUGUUACAAGCUGGGUCAAUGGUAUUUCUCCCAGAUUAUGGAGAUGAGGAUGUUGAAGUAGAGGUAUUAAAGUUUUACAAAUACCAUUUGGGUGUUCAUUUCGCACAAGUGGUGCAAGUGGAACACCCACUAUCCAAAGAUUCUAACAGUUGACAUCAUAGGCACCUCUGUGGGUGGGUCACAAAUGAAAUAUUUUCCAUUCGGCUAUCAAUAAAUAGAUGGUUAAGAGAGAAAGUACAACACUUGUUCACAUUCUAUGAAGAAAAAGUCAGAAUAUUUUACAACUAGGAUCUUUCAAUUUGAGUGAUUUUUGGUCCAUAAACCAUCCAAGAUGAGGUCCAUAAUAUUGAUGGGCCCAUUUGUGCAAAAUGAACACAAUCUUUUCCUUAUUUUUCUUGGAUAAGUUGUUUCCAUCUUUCUACCUUUUGUACUGUUAGCAUUUUGGGAUUGGAACUAAUGGAUUUCUAUUGUUGGCAUUGCUUUUUUUUUUUUUGGUAUUGAAACUAAUGGAUUCGAGAAACAUUUUCUUUCAUGGGGGCUAUGCCAAUUACAGCCAUGGUGUUUGGAGAUUACAAGGGUCGUUAACUGUAUCUAGAGGGAUUGGUGAUUCACAUCUUAAGAAAUGGGUAAUUGCAGAGGCCCGAAAUAAUGAUUUUUAGAAUCAAGCAUGACUGUGAAUUCCUAAUUGCAGAAAACUUUUGGGGGGAAAAACACUUACUAUUGUAUUAUGCUAUUUGGAAUUAUAUGCCUGCAAUUCCUAUCUCGAAUGGUACAACAUUCGUUCGAACUCUUGAAUUUUCGGCUGCAGUUUUGAGAGAAAAAAAAAAAUUCAAGCCUUCUGUCAAAGGCUCAAACCUUUUUCCCUUGUAACACAAUAUUAGCAGUAUUGUCAUAGCACUUGGAAAAUUCCAAUUCAGAUUAAACUCUAUGGGCCUGUUUGGGUUUCUUGAAAUGUAAAUUGAUGAAAUGUCAUAUCCAUGAAAAUGGCAUUUUUUUUUGUUUGUUUUUGUAAAUUUCUUGAAAAUGUCAUUUCCAUUUCUCUCAUUUCCUGAAAAAUGCCCCCUUUCAGUUUCCUUGCCUAGACUGGCAGCAAAUUUUCCAUGAAUAUAGAUUUGUAAAUGAAGAAAUUUUUUCAAGAAAAUCUUGCUGAAAGAUAAUCAUGGGAAACAAAUUUUCAUUUCUUACUAUUUUCUAGAUAUGGAGUUUCCCAAAAAACUCCAUUUUCUUAAAAAAUAAAAAAUAAAAAAUCCACAAAUCCAAACAGUCCUUAAAGUAGGCUUGAAGAGAUUGCUCGAUUCAUUGAUAGCCAGUGAAAUCAAAUUAAAGAGUUUGAAGCAGAGAGAGAGAGAGAGAGAGAG